rnacentral:rRNA from 1 species
UACGAAGGGGGCUAGCGUUGUUCGGAAUUACUGGGCGUAAAGCGCAUGUAGGCGGAUAUUUAAGUCAGGGGUGAAAUCCCGCAGCUCAACUCUGGAACUGCCUUUGAUACUGGGUAUCUUGAGUAUGGAAGAGGUGAGUGGAAUUCCGAGUGUAGAGGUGAAAUUCGUAGAUAUUCGGAGGAACACCAGUGGCGAAGGCGGCUCACUGGUCCAUUACUGACGCUGAGGUGCGAAAGCGUGGGGAGCAAACAGG